rnacentral:rRNA from 1 species
AUUGAACGCUGGCGGCAGGCCUAACACAUGCAAGUCGAACGGUAACAGGAAGCAGCUUGCUGCUUCGCUGACGAGUGGCGAACGGGUGAGUAAUGUCUGAGAAACUGCCUGAUGGAGGGGGAUAACUACUGGAAACGGUAGCUAAUACCGCAUAAUGUCGCAAGACCAAAGAGGGGGACCUUCGGGCCUCUUGCCAUCGGAUGUGCCCAGAUGGGAUUAGCUUGUUGGUGGGGUAACGGCUCACCAAGGCGACGAUCCCUAGCUGGUCUGAGAGGAUGACCCGCCACACUGGAACUGAGACACGGUCCAGACUCCUACGGGAGGCAGCAGUGGGGAAUAUUGCACAAUGGGCGCAAGCCUGAUGCAGCCAUGCCGCGUGUAUGAAGAAGGCCUUCGGGUUGUAAAGUACUUUCAGCGGGGAGGAAGGGAGUAAAGUUAAUACCUUUGCUCAUUGACGUUACCCGCAGAAGAAGCACCGGCUAACUCCGUGCCAGCCGCCGCCGUAA